rnacentral:lncRNA from 1 species
GCUGGAAGGUUGGACACAAAGGAGGGUUUUCCAGCAGAUCCUGGUUGCUGAGUGGCUGUGAUGAUGUCCCGCCCUGGGGGAUGUUAAGUCAGGUGGCGCUCACCAUGCCCACUGAGCUGGCCUUGGGCUGUGAGGUUGUGCAAGACACCGUCAGCCACAGCCCUGAAAGGAGGGUGACAACGAGGACCCAGCCUGCAGAGCCAUGGCAGAGACAAAGUUCCGAGGUGACACGCUGCCCAAGGAUGCUGGGGCAGGUACCUGUCAGCAGGUCAAGCUACAGUGAAGAAAGAGAAGCGUGGUUGGCCCUGGUCCAAAAGGAACUCAACAAAGGAGAAGCACUUAAAUAUUUCCAUCUUGCCCCAACUCCUCAUAAAUCUGUCUCCACUUGGGCCUUGACUUCAUCCUUCACAACCUCUGGGAUCUGCUGAAUGCAGUUUUGAGUCUUGUUCCUCAGUUACCUGGGUUUUCAUCUUCUCAGUCUGUUUGAUAAAGCUCUAAGCAGACAUCAGCAAGAGACCUUGAUAAUCAACUUAUUUAGAACAAAUUAGAAGGCGUAAGAAACUCUGAUCUG